UGAGGGCAAGGGUGCCCAGGAAAGCUGGUCAUACUUCAAGGAGGCACUCUUAAAGGCGCAAGAUAAAGCCAUUCCCAAGUCCCAAAAAUCAAGCAGGAAGGGAAGAAGACCAGCCUGGCUAAAUAGAGAGCUUCGGCUGGAACUCAGGAACAAAAAGAAGGCUUAUAAUCUUUGGAAAAGGGGCCUGGCAGGCAAGGAGAAAUACCAGGAAGCGGUGAGGAUAUGCAGGGGGAAAAUUAGAAGGGCCAAGGCUCAAGUGGAGCUCAUCUUGGCCACCAAAGUUAACAAUAACAAAAAGGGGUUUUUUUCAGUAUGUUAACAGUAAGAGAAAGACUAGGGAUAAUGUGGGCCCACUGAUGGAUGAGGUGGGCACCCUAGUAGUGGAAGACACGGAGAAAGCAGAGUUGCUGAAUGUCUUCUUUUCUUCAGUCUUCACUGUUAGGACUGCCCCUCAUGAAUCUGUGGCCUUGGAGGCAAGGGGGACGGUAUGGAGAGAGGAAAUUUUUCCUCUAGUAGAGGAGGACCAGGUUCGGGACCACUUGGCCAAACUGGACAUUCAUAAGUCCAUGGGCCCUGAUGGGAUGCACCCACGAGUGCUGAGGGAGCUGGCAGAUGUUAUUGCUGGGCCACUCUCUAUCAUCUUUGAAAAGUCAUGGAGAACAGGAGAGGUGCCUGAGGACUGGAGGAAGGCCAACAUCACUCCAGUCUUCAAAAAGGGCAAGAAGGAGGACCCUGGGAACUACAGACCAGUUAGUCUCAGUUCUGCCCCUGGGAAGGUAAUGGAGAGACUCAUUCUAGAUGUCAUCUCCAAGCAAGUUGAAGAGCGGGGGGUUAUUGGAAGUGGGCAACAUGGGUUUACCAAGGGUAAAUCACGUAUGACCAAUUUGAUAGCCUUCUAUGAUGCCAUAACUGGUUGGUUGGAUGAGGGGAGGGCAGCAGACGUCAUCUACCUUGACUUCAGCAAGGCUUUUGACACUGUCUCCCAUAACAUCCUCAUUGGGAAACUGAGGCAGUAUGGGCUGGAUGAGGGGACAGUGAGGUGGAUUGAGAACUGGCUGUGUGACAGGACUCAAAGGGUAAUGAUUAAUGGAGCAGGUUCAAGUUGGAAGCCUGUAACCAG
ensembl:lncRNA